AUUGAACGCUGGCGGCAGGCCUAACACAUGCAAGUCGAACGGCAGCACAGAAGAGCUUGCUCUUUGGGUGGCGAGUGGCGGACGGGUGAGUAAUGUCUGGGAAACUGCCCGAUGGAGGGGGAUAACUACUGGAAACGGUAGCUAAUACCGCAUAACGUCGCAAGACCAAAGUGGGGGACCUUCGGGCCUCACACCAUCGGAUGUGCCCAGAUGGGAUUAGCUAGUGGGUGGGGUAAUGGCUCACCUAGGCGACGAGCCCUAGCUGGUCUGAGGGGAUCACCAGCAACACUGGACCUCGGACACGGUCCAGACUCCUACGGGAGGCAGCAGUGGGAAAUAUUGCACAAUGGGCGCAAGCCUGAUGCAGCCAUGCCGAGUGUAUGAAGAAGGCCUUCGGGUUGUAAAGUACUUUCAGCGGGGAGGAAGGCGGUGAGGUUAAUAGCCUCGCCGAUUGACGUGACCCGCAGAAGAAGCACCGGCUAACUCCGUGCCAGCCGCCGCGGUAA
rnacentral:rRNA from 1 species